GGGGUUGACGUGGAUUUGACAGCAUUGCAAAGUGGUAUGUAAGCAUGCAGAGCCGGAGUGACAACAGCUCUAUAAUCACGGGUCUCGAACAAUAACUGGCGAAAACAACUAUGCUCUCGCUGCCUAAUCGAAUAACAGUAGAUUGGCUUUAUUUUGGGCUAAGAGCCUGAAACGAGACGUCUCUCAAAAGCCCUUCCUUAAGGCUCGUUGGUACAGAGGCGCAGACAAUUUAAGGAUAGCCUGCGGCGUGCUCCUCGCCAAUGGCGAAAUAACCAAAGAGCUAAGGUGCAAUUCGGGCGUCGACUCCCACAUUGCACACGAAAACCAAUAGCCGAAUAAGCAUGUAGAAAGCAUAUUGCUUCAGUGUUUGGACUGGGGUUCGAUUCCCCACAGCUCCACCA
rnacentral:tmRNA from 1 species